rnacentral:misc_RNA from 1 species
UUGCGCAGACCGGCGACUUCAUCGUAAGGUAGUCGAUAAGCGUUCCGUGGACGCGCGGCUCGUACGUACGUUCUCUCGUGGCAGGACGAGCGAGAUCGCGGAGCACUCGUAGUCGAUCGAGCGCUCGUAGCCGACCCUCGAUUCACCCUCGAGUCGCCUCGUCGUUGCGCGUCACGAUGAACGAUCGCGAGCGGGGCUACAAAUUUGGGCGUGAGCCUUCUUCUGUCAACCGUACAUUGUGAAAGCACGUUGCACGGGAGCGACAUUUCUCGGUCUUUUUUUUUCUCUCUCUCUCUCUCCCCCCCUCUCUCCCUCUCUCUCGAGCGAUCGAAUCCCGUGGGGCCAGGCGUGGUGAAUUGAGCGCGAUCCUCUCGGACACUUGGCGUGGCAUCGAAGACGGUGGGCGUGUGUGUAUGUGCGCGUAUGUGUGUGGGGAUGAACUGCACGGGAAGUGUAAAGUGAAAUAAAGGAGGAGGAAGAGGUGGAGGAGUUGGAGGAAGGAGUGGAGGGGGAGGAGGAGGGGGAGGAGGAGGAGGAUUGGGACGCUUCCUGUGUCUCGGUGAUCCGAUCUAAAAAAGUUCCGCAGGUAGAACCGCGCGAUCGAAUGUCUUUUCGAUGUGACGAAAAUGAUGAAGUGUGGGAGAGAGCGGGCAUUGAGUGAAGGCUUCGAUACCUCGAAUCAUGACAGAGGCGUCGGACGAUGGUAACUAUCUGGUGAGGGUCCGCGCCCAGGUAAUGACGAGAGAUGAUAGCUCGGGUGGUUGGGUUCCUUUGAGUGGUGGUGGAUUGGCAAAUGUCUCGGUUAGACGUAGGAUUACUUCAUCAGGAAUACAUCAAACAAACAAUACCAAUGGAAACAAUAUUUCUACUACAACCAACUCCGCACAUCCUAUCUCGAAUGCAACUGUUGGCCUUCAAAGUCAUGGAUCUUCUAAUAUCUCUCCGCCUGGUGCAAAUAAAAGAAAGCACGAGUAUCUUAUUUAUGGCAAACGCAUUACUGAUCAAUCGGUUGUUCUUAGUUGUAUAAUUAAAAAAGAUUUUGAAUAUAAUAAAGUGAUGCCAACUUUUCAUCAUUGGCGAACAGGGGAAAAAAAGUUUGGAUUAACAUUUCAAACAGCUGCCGAUGCAAGAGCAUUUGACAAAGGAGUUCGAACAGCAGUUGAAGAAUUGUUGGAAGGUCUGUCUGAUUUAACAUUAACCACUAAUGCUCCAGAUGCUGGGGACGAAGAUGUUUUUAUGACUUUGAAUUUGCCAGUGGAACCACCUGAGCCACGUUCCUCUUCAGACACACCUCAUGGAAUAGUUCGAGUACCAAAUUAUUCUCAAUAUUCAGAGCCUCCUGAUUCACAUCGAUCUAUUCAUCACAUUGGUGGUUCGUCCGUUAAGGGCCCUCCGUCGCAACAUCCUUUAGCAUCCGCUGCAGAUAUUGGAUCGGAUAACUAUCCUUAUGUGCAACUCACGACGCUUAAUCAUGAAUAUUUAUAUCCUAUCAUCGACGAUCACAAAAGUGAGAGAUUAGACGGACAUAAUACUCCCAAUAGUGGAAGUUCUCUAAAGAAGCCAGAUAUUAUAAUAUCCCAACCUUCGAAAAAUACUAUGAAACGUAAUGUACGUUUACGUUGCAAGCAUUGUCAAGAGCUGUACUCAGAACAGCAUAAUCCGAAAGGUUCCUGCGAAUACGCUCCUGAUCCAAUUAGACGUGGAAUCGCGAAAGUUUCUUGUUUAUCGUGUGCCCAAUGUAUGUUAUAUCAUUGUAUGAGUGACGCUGAAGGUGACUUUGCACAAAAUCCUUGUAGGAAUCUGUUGCAAAUUAAAUUUUUCGCUUGGAGAUUGUAUAAAAAAUAUUAAAUCAGUUUUUUUAGAAAAUAACUUUGGACACAAUGCUACUUUUGAGACUAUACUUGUAGUACAGAAGAGGGAUGCGGACGCAGAUGGUUUGGUUUGGCCUUGUUGUCACUGAUCGUUCCUUGCUUGUGGAUAUAUCCUCCACUUAGAGCUAUACAUUGGUGCGGGAUGUCCUGUGGAAUGUGCGGCGGUCGUCAUCACCCUAUGGAAUAACUGGAGGAACCCUUUGAUAUCUCUGCUCCGUACUCAAUUGGAUCAAACAACUUUCCUGCAUCGUGUAAUGCAGUCGCCAAUGUGUAUGAAUGUCAUGAUCUAAGUAUGGGUCGUUGUCAGAGAUAUCAAAGGGGUAGACAACUUCCAGUACAUGCACUUAUUCAUCAGCGUCAUCUUUAAAAUAAAAUACAGUCAAAGUGGAAAUACCCAAUUUAGCACAAGAUGUCGCAUAUAGCCAACAUAAUGUAUAUUCCGUACAUUUUGUAUAUUUUAUUAGAGCAAGAUACGUUACUUAGUCUCACCUGUACAUUAAACAAUUUGAGGUAAAUUAGUAUUUACAGUUUGAAUGAUUAAUCUAUGGAAAGCACAUCAAAUGGACUCAGACCAACUAUUUGUGAUACAUGGUGCACAUUGUGAGAGUGUAACUUCUGUGAGUCGAAUAAAAAUUAAUUUUGUUCUUAGUUUCACUAAUUUUCACACACACACACACACACACAAUAUACUCACAAUAUUUAAUGGAGAAAUAGAUAAGAUAACUAAAUUAAUUUUGCUGGAGUUCUUAGAUUGUAGAAUGUAAUGUAUCCUGUGAUUGUUAAAUCUGAUACCCAAUAACUUGAAUUGCCAAGCUAAUCUUUGUUGACUUCAUUCUUUAUAACAUAUCGUAGGAUUAAAAAAUAAAAAUCUUUUGCUUACAAGUUUUCUUUAAUAGUGUAAACAAUAAUUGACAAAUCUAUAUAUGUAUAUAUAUGUUUGAAAAUAAGUAUAUAC